UACGUAGGGGACAAGCGUUAUCCGGAUUUAUUGGGCGUAAAGCGUGUGUAGGCGGUUUGUUAAGUUUAAGAUUAAAGCCCGAGGCUCAACCUCGGUUCGUCUUAAAAACUGGCAGACUUGAGCAAGAUAGAGGUAAAUGGAAUUUCUAGUGUAGCGGUAAAAUGCGUAGAUAUUAGAAGGAACACCAGUGGCGAAGGCGAUUUACUGGGUCUUUACUGACGCUGAGACACGAAAGCGUGGGGAGCAAAUAGG
rnacentral:rRNA from 1 species